rnacentral:rRNA from 1 species
UACGUAGGCAGCAAGCGUUGUUCGGAGUUACUGGGCGUAAAGGGUGCGUAGGCGGUUGUUUAAGUUUGGUGUGAAAUCUCCCGGCUCAACUGGGAGGGUGCGCCGAAUACUGAAUGACUAGAGUGCGGGAGAGGAGAGUGGAAUUCCUGGUGUAGCGGUGAAAUGCGUAGAUAUCAGGAGGAACACCGGUGGUGUAGACGGCUCUCUGGACCGUAACUGACGCUGAGGCGCGAAAGCGUGGGGAGCAAACAGG